UAUUCGACCCGCGGAUCCAGUGUUGACUCGGAGACGUCCUUACUAAGUACUUGUUGUUAAGGCUGCACAUUAGGUGGAAGGAUCCCGUCUCAGUGGCCGACAUCUUGACCUCAAAUUUCGAGUAAGGGCUCAUGGGAUCAUUUCCGGAGAACUGGAGGAACCCGUCCUGUUCCUUCCCUGGAUCUUCUCUGUAGCUAAGGUACUUGUCGUUGUACAUGGACUUCAACACCACAUACUUUGGCAAC
rnacentral:lncRNA from 1 species